GCGGCGUGCCUAAUACAUGCAAGUCGAGCGGACUGAUGGGAGCUUGCUCCCUGAAGUCAGCGGCGGACGGGUGAGUAACACGUGGGUAACCUGCCUGUAAGACUGGGAUAACUCCGGGAAACCGGGGCUAAUACCGGAUAGUUCUUUUCCUCGCAUGAGGAAAAGUGGAAAGGCGGCUUCGGCUGCCACUUACAGAUGGACCCGCGGCGCAUUAGCUAGUUGGUGAGGUAACGGCUCACCAAGGCAACGAUGCGUAGCCGACCUGAGAGGGUGAUCGGCCACACUGGGACUGAGACACGGCCCAGACUCCUACGGGAGGCAGCAGUAGGGAAUCUUCCGCAAUGGACGAAAGUCUGACGGAGCAACGCCGCGUGAGUGAUGAAGGUUUUCGGAUCGUAAAGCUCUGUUGUUAGGGAAGAACAAGUGCCGUUCGAAUAGGGCGGCACCUUGACGGUACCUAACCAGAAAGCCACGGCUAACUACGUGCC
rnacentral:rRNA from 1 species